rnacentral:rRNA from 1 species
GUGAGGAAUAUUGGUCAAUGGGCGCAAGCCUGAACCAGCCAUGCCGCGUGCAGGAAGACGGUCCUAUGGAUUGUAAACUGCUUUUAUUUGGGAAUAAACUCCGGUACGUGUACCGGCCUGAAGGUACCAAAUGAAUAAGCACCGGCUAACUCCGUGCCAGCAGCCGCGGUAAUACGGAGGGUGCAAGCGUUAUCCGGCAUCAUUGGGUUUAAAGGGUCCGCAGGCGGUCUUAUAAGUCAGUGGUGAAAGCCUACAGCUCAACUGUAGAACUGCCAUUGAUACUGUAGGACUUGAAUUCGAUCGAAGUGGGCGGAAUGUGACAUGUAGCGGUGAAAUGCUUAGAUAUGUCACAGAACACCGAUAGCGAAGGCAGCUCACUAGGUCUGGAUUGACGCUCAGGGACGAAAGCGUGGGGAGCAAACAGGAUUAGAAACCCGUGUAGUCC